UACGUAGGGUGCGAGCGUUAAUCGGAAUUACUGGGCGUAAAGCGUGCGCAGGCGGUUUUGUAAGUCAGAUGUGAAAUCCCCGGGCUCAACCUGGGAACUGCGUUUGAAACUGCAAGGCUAGAGUAUGGGAGAGGGAGGUAGAAUUCCACGUGUAGCAGUGAAAUGCGUAGAGAUGUGGAGGAACACCGAUGGCGAAGGCAGCCCCUGGGUCAAGAUUGACGCUCCAUGCACGAAGCGUGGGGAGCAACAAGG
rnacentral:rRNA from 1 species